rnacentral:rRNA from 1 species
GAUGAACGCUGGCGGCGUGCCUAACACAUGCAAGUCGAACGGACAAGCUCCAACUUGCUGGCGUUGAUCAUUGCCGAAGGCGGGAGUGUCACGUGUGCAUCCUGCCCCUGUCUCUCGGGGAACAGCCCGAAACGGCUGCUAAUAUCGGAUAUGCUCCAUGAACCCACAUUCUGCGGUGGGAAAGAUUUUUCUGUUGGGGAUGGGCGCGCGGCCUAUCAGCUUGUUGGUGAGGUAAUGGCUCACCAAGGGGCCGACGGGUCGCCGCCCCGAGAGGGUGACCGGGCACAAUGGUACUGCGAGACGGAGCAGACGGCUACGGGAGGCAGCGGGGGGGAAUAUUGCGCAAUGGGGGCAAGCCUGAUGCAGAAGCGCCGGGUGAGGGAUGACGGCCUUCGGGUUGUGAACAUCUUUGGGCAGAGACGAAGCGGUAGUGACGGUACCUGAAGAAAAAGCGCCGGCUAACUACGUG